rnacentral:rRNA from 1 species
GACGAACGCUGGCGGCGUGCUUCACACAUGCACGUCGAACGAGACGAUUGAAAGCUUGCUUUUGAAAGGCGAGUGGCAAACGGGUGAGUAACGCGUAGACAACCUGCCUUUGAGAUGGGGACAACAGUUCGAAAGGACUGCUAAUAUCGAAUGUUGUAUAUUUUCCACAGGGAAGAUAUAUUAAAGAUGGCCUCUAUUGAUAAGCUAUCGCUCAAAGGUGGGUCUGAGUCUGAUUAGCGGGUUGGUGGGGUAACGGCCUACCAAGGCGACGAUCAGUAGCCGGGCUGGGAGGACGAACGGCCACAUUGGGACUGAGACACGGCCCAGUCUCCUACGGGAGGCAGCAGUGGGGAAUCUUCCACAAUGGACGAAAGUCUGAUGGAGCAACGCCGCGUGAGUGAAGAAGGGUUUCGGCUCGUAAAGCUCUGUUGUCGGGGACGAAUGUGCAGUAUUUGAAUAAAGUAGUGUAAUGACGGUACCUGACGAGGAAGCCACGGCUAACUACGUGCCAGCAGCCGCCGCCGUAA